AUUGACCUCAGCCUUGUCUCUUGGCAGAGGAGACAAUACGAGUGUAAGAAACAGCUCAUAGUUUGGAGGAAACUAAGCCAAGCAGCUUGAUGUUUUUGCAGCAUAAAAUAUGAGGCUGGAAGUGGUGUAAGCUCUGUGCCCUCAAGUUUGCCUAACAACAUGUGUGCUCAAUGGGAGGAAACUGACACAUGUUUGGAGAAUGAGUUACACCAAGCUGAGGAUGGAAACUGCCAAAGCACCAGAAGCAGAGCACAGAGAAACCCCAGGAUUGUUUUGGAAAAAUGAAGAAAAUGCAGGAAACAGGCCAAAUGCCAUGGGAUACAGAGGUGCUGACUGAGUCUGAGAUUACAUCAACUGCAACAGGAUCAAGCAGACUCAACAAGACCAGUACUUAGCUGCAGGAGGAGGAAAACCCUACAAUGACAAAGGACAGG